rnacentral:lncRNA from 1 species
UUAAACUUAAUAGCACAAUCCCCAAUACAGUCAUUAAAGUUCAGAACCCGUUUUAUUCAAUCCCCCAUUGUGGUUGCACAUGCAAAAGAUGAUAUUCCCAAUAAAAGUAAAAACAACUCAGGAAGUUAAAGAGUGAUACAACAGUACCCGAAUCAUGAAUUGAGUUCAAUGUACAUGAUCAGCGCAACCUGUAGGUCUUCCAAUCAUAUCGGAUAUUCAAAGGAAUUAAUGGUGUUUCUUUCUCUCGUCACUCCCCAAUGCCUUCAUGUUCCAUGCAGAAGUAUAUCUCGCAACUGCGCUGCAGUCAGCUUCCAUGUCGACCCUGAAGACGAGAA